rnacentral:lncRNA from 1 species
GCAUCCCUUUCUCUCUGAGCAUCCAAGUCAUGCAGUUCCUUCAUUUCAAAGCUACUGCAGGCUCAAAAGACUUGAUAGAUGAUGAAGGUUUUCAGAAAGCACUUUACAUGAUCGAUAUUGGGCAACAUGACCUUGCUUAGUUGUUUUCCAAAAAUCUCUCGUUCACGCAAAUAACAGAGAAAAUCCGACCGAUUACUACAGAAAUCAAGAAAGCCGUUAAGAUUCAUAUGACCAAGACGGGUGGAAUUUUUGGAUACACAACACUGGGACAUUGGGUUAAUGUAGGAUUGUUUAAUGAGGCUGCAAGAUUGUUUAAUGUAGGAUUG